AAGAGAAGGAAAGAGAGUUGAAACAGAGACUGUAUCCAUAUAUCCCUGAUCUUUUAGUUUUAUGUGUUCAUCUGGUUCUUUGGUUCUGGCACAAAGAAAAUUUCCCAGAUUUCCAAGGCUAUGGAAGAUGAAAGAGGGAGUCUCUUACCAAAGAACAAGGAGAACCAUGUCUACUUAACCCAUGAUGGAGAAGAAUUAAGGAGCUUCAGGUCAUGCCUUUAUGUGGAUCAAUCCAACGUAUGGAAAGCUUGUCUUUCUUGGUCCGUGUUCUUCUCUUUGGCCUUCAUUGUACCCGUUCUGUCACACUUUCUGCUUGAUUGUCCAACAACCUGCGACGCUGAUCAUAAUCGACCAUAUCACAUACCCGUUCAGAUUUCUCUCUCUGUGUUCGCAACUCUCUCUUUCAUCACCCUCUCUCGUUGGGAUCGCAAAUAUGGUUUGAGCAAGUUUCUUUUCCUUGAUAAAGUAAGUGAUGAAAGCCUCAAGAUUCAACGAGGAUAUGCAGAACAGAUUCAGCGAACCAGGAAGCUCAUCUUGCUUUGGGGACUUCCCUGUUUCAUAGCUGAAUGUGUGUAUAAGAUAUGGUGGUUUGUCUCAGGAGCAUCACAAAUACCAUAUUAUGGUGAUAUAUACCUUAGCAGCAUCAUUUUGUGCACAUUGGAGCUAUUUUCUUGGCUUUAUCGAACUUCCAUUUUCUUCCUUGUGUGUGUCCUCUUUCGACUUAUCUGCCACUUGCAAAUACUAAGACUUGAUGAAUUCGCUCCAGUUUUCCAAAGAGAAACUGAGGUGGCAUCAAUCUUGAUGGAGCACCUAAAAAUAAGAAGGAAUCUGCGGGUCAUUAGCCAUCGUUUUCGAGGUUUUAUUUUGGCUUCUCUAAUUUUGGUAACAGCAAGCCAGCUAAUUUUUCUGCUUAUGGCUACGAGACCCCAUGCUGAUGUUGAUAUCCUCAAGGCUGGAGAACUUGCGUUAGUCUCCAUCACCCUGGUGAGUGGACUUUACAUACUCUUGCGAAGUGCAACUAAGAUCACACAUAAAGCACAAUCCACUACUGGACUUGCUGCUAAGUGGCAUGUUUGUGCCACCAUAAACUCAUUUGACAACAUGGAAGGAGAGACACCAACAGAACAGGUAGCUUCAGCCCAAGCUUUUGCUGCUAAUAUUAGUUGGGGAUCUUCGGAUGAUGAGGUAGGAGAUGAAGAGGAUGAGUUGGAUAACACAAAAUUAAUGCCAAUUUACACCUAUACCAUCUCAUUCCACAAGAGACAGGCUCUAGUGACAUACAUGGAGAACAAUAGAGCAGGAAUCACAGUGUUUGGAUUCAUGCUUGACAGAACUUGGCUUCACUCCAUUUUUGCCAUUCAAAUGGCUCUUUGCCUUUGGCUACUUAACAAGACAGUCGGUGUUUAGAGACAGAAAGAAACUUAUGUGAUCCUACUACUUUGCUCAUUAUGCAUUUUAUAUAGUCAUUAGUUCAUUUUGAUCUUAUAGUUCUGGUUUUGAUCUAUGAAAUGUAAACGAUGUGGUUGCUCCACAAAUUGCUCAGACUAUCGCAAAUGUGACUUCAUCUAGCUCCUACUACUCAGCGGGACAAAUCCUCAUAUCAGAUGACUCAGAGUACAUUGAAGUGUCGAAAGCAGCUUUUGUUGGUACCAUGUCUUUCUUCUGCUUAAUGCCUCUAUCUCUUAUGAUCUGAUUUCUGGUUAUGGAUGUUCGCGCAUUUUGCCUGAAAAUGGCUGUAGCUACCGGUGUUGCACAUCCAGAUGGAGAUCCUAACAAGAAAUAUGCAAAAAGACACCCUUUUAUGACCUUUGCAGCUCAAUACUACAUUCAAAUCCUCUAAGCCCCAAUACUGAUCCAAAGGGUAUGGUCCUUAUAAUGGUCAAUGACAUUUUGACAAAUGCUACUAACACAUUGAGUUACUUUCUCCCACAAGCAGAUGAUGCU